CGCUACUUUUACUCAAUGACAUUUUAACCGUCAGCUGGUAUUUUAUACUAUUUAAAUCAUCUAACUCCUCGUUAAUUUUACUCGAUACGAUGGGCUUAACAUCGUUAACAUCCAUGUUCGAAUUAACCCUUUCGCCCCGACUGAUAUGUCACCUGUUUUCGCGACUGGUAUUUUUUCUUGCUUGAAUCGUAAAUCUAGCGUAAUGGCGGCCAACUACGAUUCGGAUAGCGAUCAGAUGACUAACAACGACUCUAUCGGGAAUAAUAAUGUGUUUGAUUUGAAUAAUUUACGCGAAGGGGAGAGGGAAUUUUCGCGAAAAGAUUUUGGUGAAGAUUUUGACGGUUUCGACGAGGUGUCCCCCCACACACCCCCGCCAACUUUCAAGAAUGGGAGUGGCAGAGGGACCACAAUGGUGGAGACAUGAGGGAUUUUGAAGAGGCGACCGGACUCAAGAAUACUUAUUGACACGGUGAGUGAAGAGUCGUGCUAUUGAUUUUUUCCAACUGUUUUACAAUGAUUCUGUGUUUGAACAGAUUAUCAGGGCGAUGAAUGAGAAUGCAGCCUACACGUGAACGAGUGAUCACAACAACAACAAAGGUGAGUGGCAUGACGUAUCUCUUUCUUUUUUUUUAAAUUUCUUUUUUUGAUCGCAAUCCGAAUUGUAGUUUGCCGGUUUGUCGUAUGUCCUUGUAUUUCGCUCAAUUUGAAUAAAAUUUAUUUCCAUGUUCAUGUUCGUUUUCUUGUUUUUUACAUCAUAAUUUAAAUUUUAGUAACUGUAAUAAUUAUUUAUUUAUUAAUUGAUUUAUAUAAAGUACUGAUUUAAUUUAUUAUGCAAUUGUAAAUAGCAGUGUAUUGUAAAUAUGUUAUCACAACUUGUAUAUUUGCAGAACUUGAAUUUAGGAUCUUUCUGUCCUUUUACAAUCUUUCCCUCCUUUCAGAUCAAUCUGUGAUAUCUUCCCUGUGAUGUCAUUCUUAUAGUAGCUGUGGUUCAAAAUGUGCAUGAAGAGAAUUCACCUGUAACAACUGGGAUUACCUGUGCCGUCCAAGAUGACAAGACCACCGUGUUAUGUUUACCUUGUAUCUGUGAUUUAUUUUUGUGAUUUUUAAUACAAUUUGAGCCAAAAUUCAUUGUCUGUUAUCAUUUUUUCAGUGUUUUCAAGUUUUAUUUCACUUGUAAACACCUGUAAUUAGAAAAUAACAAAGGUUAGAGACAAUAACAACAUAGAAUAUUACAGUAUACUUAAUCCUCGUUACAAUGGUAUAUGAUAAAUGUAUAUUAAAAGCAAGUUUCUGGUAGAAAAA